rnacentral:rRNA from 1 species
UACGAAGGGGGCUAGCGUUGCUCGGAAUUACUGGGCGUAAAGCGUGCGCAGGCGGUUCUAUAAGUCAGAUGUGAAAUCCCCGGGCUCAACCUGGGAACUGCAUUUGUGACUGUAGAGCUGGAGUACGGUAGAGGGGGAUGGAAUUCCGCGUGUAGCAGUGAAAUGCGUAGAUAUGCGGAGGAACACCGAUGGCGAAGGCAAUCCCCUGGACCUGUACUGACGCUCAUGCACGAAAGCGUGGGGAGCAAACAGG